rnacentral:rRNA from 1 species
AUUGAACGCUGGCGGCAUGCUUUACACAUGCAAGUCGAACGGUAACAGGCCGCAAGGUGCUGACGAGUGGCGAACGGGUGAGUAAUGCAUCGGAACGUGCCCAGUCGUGGGGGAUAACGCAGCGAAAGCUGUGCUAAUACCGCAUACGAUCUAUGGAUGAAAGCGGGGGACCGUAAGGCCUCGCGCGAUUGGAGCGGCCGAUGUCAGAUUAGGUUGUUGGUGGGGUAAAGGCCUACCAAGCCGACGAUCUGUAGCUGGUCUGAGAGGACGACCAGCCAAACUGGGACUGAGACAGGGCCCAGACUCCUACGGGAGGCAGCAGUGGGGAAUUUUGGACAAUGGGCGCAAGCCUGAUCCAGCAAUGCCGCGUGCAGGAAGAAGGCCUUCGGGUUGUAAACUGCUUUUGUACGGAACGAAACGGUCUGGGUUAAUACCCUGGGCUAAUGACGGUACCGUAAGAAUAAGCACCGGCUAACUACGUGCCAGCAGCCGCGGUAAGAC